AUUUUAAUUUAAAAAUUUAUUUACAGACGAUUUAGCAAAUGCAGGUUUCUUUUCUGAAGAUAAUGGAUUACUAAAUGUUAUUAAUUUAUUUUCUAAUCUUGUCUAUAAUUUUCCAAAUAAGAAAGAUUCUUAUGAAAAAUUUUCUUUAGAUAAAUAUGACAAAUUAUACACAACAAAUCAUACUCCGAAAUAAGAUUAUUCAGAUUCAAUAAAAGAAUGUGCUAUUAAUCAACUUUACACGCAUUCAAUCAUUUUUAAAAUGAAACAAACUAAAAUAAACAAUGCGGAAACGUGGUGUGAAUCAAAUGCAGCUAAAGUUGGAGGCAUAAAAGAAGGAACAACUGUUACAGUUGAAAAACG